GACGAACGCUGGCGGCGUGCUUAACACAUGCAAGUCGAACGAAGUGGCGAACGGGUGAGUAAUACGUGGGUAACCUGCCCUCCUUUUUGGGAUAAGCCUUGGAAACGGGGUCUAAUACCGAAUUAAGGGGGAUGGGCUCGCGGCCUAUCAGCUUGUUGGGGGGGUGAUGGCCUACCAAGGCGGUGACGGGUAGCCGGCCUGAGAGGGUGACCGGCCACUGUGGGACUGAGAUACGGCCCAGACUACGACGGGGGGCAGCAGUGGGGGAUAUUGCACAAUGGGCGAAAGCCUGAGGCAGCGACGCCGAGUGGGGGAGGAAGGCUUUCGGGUUGUAAACCUCUUGCGGUAGCGAGCGGGUAGGUGGAGAAGAAGCGCCGGCUAACUCCGUGCCAGCAGCCGCGGUAAUAC
rnacentral:rRNA from 1 species